ACAAAGGGAAGGAGCAGGCGGCUGAACAGCCUGAGCUGAAAUGCUGUGUCCUCUCCCACCGCUUGGAGGAUAGACUCAAAUACUAAUGGAGUGCAAGUCAAAGCAGAGAUCUGGAAAAGGCCUGACCCAAGACUGGAAGCUCUAUUUAACCUAGAGAAGGGGAUUGAAGGGUUCUCCCUAUGCUGCUUUGAGCGCUGCUAUUGGGUGCCUUGAGGGGACCUCAAGUAAGCUCCAUUUUUGAAACAUGGAUGCAGUGACUUAUGAUGAUGUGCGUGUGAACUUCACUGAGGAAGAGUGGGAUUUGCUGGAUCCUUCCCAGAAAAGUCUCUAUGAAGAGGUGAUGCUAGAGACAUACCAGAACAUCACUGCUAUAGGCUACAAUUGGGAAGACCAUCAUAUUGAAGAACAUUGUCAAAGUUCUAGAAGACAUGAAAGGCAUGAAAGAAUUCAUAUUGGAGAGAAACCGUAUGAACGUAACCAAUGGGGUAAAGCCUUUGCAAGUGACAAUCAUCUCCAAAUACGUAAAAGAACAAAUACUGGAGAGAAACCUUAUGAAUGUAAUCAAUGUGGUAAAGCCUUUUCACAACAGAGUAGUCUCCAGUAUCAUAAAAGAACAUAUGCUGGACAGAAA
rnacentral:lncRNA from 1 species